UGCCGUCUACUCUUGGCCAGCCUUCUGAAAGGAAGAUUAAUCCAGGAUGGCAUCAUGAGUUCACAUGUCCGCAUGAUUAAAGGUAUUUUCCGGUAGACGAUGGGGAUGCGUUCCAUUAGAUAGUAGGCGGGGUAACGGCCCACCUAGUCAACGAUGGAUAGGGGUUCUGAGAGGAAGGUCCCCCACAUUGGAACUGAGACACGGUCCAAACUCCUACGGGAGGCAGCAGUGAGGAAUAUUGGUCAAUGGGCGAUGGCCUGAACCAGCCAAGUAGCGUGAAGGAUGACUGCCCUAUGGGUUGUAAACUUCUUUUAUAAAGGAAUAAAGUCGGGUAUGCAUACCCGUUUGCAUGUACUUUAUGAAUAAGGAUCGGCUAACUCCGUGCCAGCAGCCGCGGUAAUACGGAGGAUCCGAGCGUUAUCCGGAUUUAUUGGGUUUAAAGGGAG
rnacentral:rRNA from 1 species